rnacentral:rRNA from 1 species
GUUUUUUGUGUUUUAAAAAUUUUUUCUGCUCGGUGUUUAUUAACAGCCGCGGUACUUUGACCGUGCAAAGGUAGCAUAAUCAUUUGCCUCGUAAUUGGGGGCUGGAAUGAAAGAAUAAACGAAAGUUUUUCUUUAUUUUAAGAAUUUAAGGAAUUUUCUUUUUUAGUGAAGAAGCUAAAAUGUGAAAGGGGACAAGAAGACCCUUUUGAGCUUUACUUAUUAGCUUUCUAUGCUUGAUAAGUUUGGUUGGGGCGACCAAGGAAAAUCUUCCUUUAAAAUUUUGAUCCGUUUUUUACGAUUAAAAGAACAAGUUACCAAAGGGAUAACAGCGUAAUCUUUUUUGAGAGUUCUUAUUAAAAAAAAGGGUUGCGACCUCGAUGU